rnacentral:rRNA from 1 species
UACGUAGGGGGCUAGCGUUGUCCGGAUUUAUUGGGCGUAAAGAGCGUGUAGGCGGCCAUGUAGGUCCGGUGUGAAAACUCGAGGCUUAACCUCGAGAUGUCAUCGGAAACCAUUUGGCUAGAGUCCGGAAGAGGAGAGUGGAAUUCCUGGUGUAGCGGUGAAAUGCGCAGAUAUCAGGAAGAACAUCAAUGGCGAAAGCAGCUCUCUGGGACGGUACUGACGCUGAGACGCGAAAGCGUGGGGAGCGAACAGG